GCCAGUGCACCCACAGAUUUCGAGCCAUUUGGGGCAAAUUGCCAUUCCUAUCGGGAAGAUCUUGUUAUGGACAAUUUCCUUUUAUAUCACCAAAGUUUUUUUUCAAAAACUAAAAAUGUUUCCCUUUCUAAAUCUUUCAUUAACCCUAAUUUUCUUCUCAUAAAUAAAAAUCUUCAGCCCCUGACCAUGUUCAUACACAGUACAUUCUCAAGCCUCCACAGCUCUCAAAUCAGCUUUGAAGCCAACUGCCUUUUUCUUUUGCCACAACGCCAACAGCGAAAUCGCAUGGCUGAUCUUACUGUUAGGUGCUCGAUCUUAGAGAAAGUUAAGAUUUUCUAUACUUGCUUGUUUAUUCCAUAGGCCUCUGAAACUCAUUUUGGCUCAUAUUAUAUUCCAAUCUUUUGUUGCAAUUACUAAGCAUGUUCAUUGGUUUGUCUGCCUCCAUGAUUUCAACCUCUGUGUCAUUGGUUCUUUUUGAAUGUUUUUAAUUGAAUGGUAUCCUAACUUCAAACUUUAGUAGUUCAAAUCCUAUUGACUAACUACUUGUGAAGUCUUGUUAUUGUUUGUGGGCAACUCACCUGAAUAAUAUAUAUAACUGACCUUGCAAAGGCUUCAUGGUUUUCUUUCUCUUACAGGUUGCAGUGUCCACAUAUAUAUCCAUGCCAUUGCAAAGCUUUUGCUGUCCACAAAAGUCGUUCCUGUAUUCCUUGGCCUUAUUAUUUUUUUUAAAAGGGAUGCCUUCAACAUUGACCUACUAUUAAACCGUGCAUUGAACGUCUCAAGUUAUCUAGCCACCAAUAAAGACAAAUUGUCAUACAUGGAGCAGCUUGAGCAUGCUGUCAAUCACACCAAAGAUGCUAUUGAUGACAUGAUCUUGAUCAAGAGGAACCUACUCUACAUUGAAUUUCGCCUCGGUCCUCGAUUCAAAGAUAAAAUGCCUUAUGAAGUUGAAGCUAUAUUCCACACUUGCCCCGAUAGAGUUUUAUUGUUCUUCUCAACAUCCUUAGACUAGGUUAAGAGGGAAGAUUCUAAACCUUUCAAGUUGUGGCCGGUCAUGCCUCCGGGGUGGAUUAUAUGGAUGGAUUAUCGGGUUACUAUAGUACUUGGAAAAAAUCUGUAAUUUAUGCUGUGAUACAUCUAUCCUAUCUUGACAUCCCAUGUGAUAAAGGCCUGAUUGCAACGGCA